AGAAAUGUCUUGCAAGUGUCAAGAACACACCUUUCGAAGGUGUUGUAAAUUGUUCUUGAAAUAGUUCAAAACAGUUGGUUCUUCUACUUGAAUGCUUGAUUCCGUAUUAGUAACUAUGUUUUACAAUCGUUGUAAAAGUGUGGCUAAUAAGAAGUAGAAGAUUAAUGAGAGAAGAGAAAGUACUUCACAUUCGGAAAGUGAAUCAAAUGUAGAUCUCUGCGAAAGCAGAUGGUACUUACUUCCUCAUAUAAACUACCAAAGAAAUUUGAAAAACUAAAGAUUGUCUUUACAUUCCAAUUUUAAGGAACUUAAUUCCGUCACUAUAAGAGAUGGAUGAAUGUUUUGUUUGACAAAACAUUGUUCUUUAUUAAUGAAUGAUUAGAUUAUUGUAAUCUAAUUGAUUGUCUCUAUAGUAGAGAUGAUUUGGUAGUGUUAACUGUUUAGAAUAUAACGAUGCUUAAAACCCAAAAGGUUGCAAGGUAGUGACUAAUCCCAACUGAAGUUGUGAUACCUCUAAAAACAUAAA
rnacentral:lncRNA from 1 species